GAUGAACGCUGGCGGCGUGCCUAACACAUGCAAGUCGAGCGAUUCUCUUCGGAGAAGAGCGGCGGACGGGUGAGUAACGCGUGGGUAACCUGCCCUGUACACACGGAUAACAUACCGAAAGGUAUGCUAAUACGAGAUAAUAUGCUUUUAUCGCAUGGUAGAAGUAUCAAAGCUUUUGCGGUACAGGAUGGACCCGCGUCUGAUUAGCUAGUUGGUAAGGUAACGGCUUACCAAGGCGACGAUCAGUAGCCGACCUGAGAGGGUGAUCGGCCACAUUGGACCUGAGACACGGUCCAAACUCCUACGGGAGGCAGCAGUGGGGAAUAUUGCACAAUGGGCGAAAGCCUGAUGCAGCAACGCCGCGUGAGUGAUGACGGUCUUCGGAUUGUAAAGCUCUGUCUUCAGGGACGAUAAUGACGGUACCUGAGGAGGAAGCCACGGCUAACUACGUGCCAGCAGCCGCGGUAA
rnacentral:rRNA from 1 species